UUCAUAUUCAAAUUUUGUGAUCCAUGGUUUAAAUUUUCUGUUAUGACAUGAUACAAAUAAUUAAAAAAUUAUAUAAGUUGAAAGUCUCAUUUAAUAAGUAUUAAAAUAAAAGAUAUAAGAAUAUAUAUAUAUAUAUAUAUUAAUCCCACAAUGAUAAUUUUGUUAUCAGUAAUUUAAUUUUUUUUGCUAUAACAGAUACAAACGAUAAAAAUAUAUGAGCAAAAUGCAUUAUUUAAUAAAUAUUAAUAUUAAAAUAUUUAUAUAUAUGUUACUAUAAUUUAAAUUUAAUUAUAUAAUAUAUCAAAUAAAAAAAUAUUGUUUGGAUUAAUAAAAUUUAUUUAUAUGUUCUUACCAAUUUAAUUAUAUAAGUAAUAGUUACUGAUUUUUUAAUUAUUCAAUAUAUAUUUAUUAUUUCAUAAUAUGUUAGAAAUAUAUAAUAUAUAAAAUAGUUUAUAUAUAUAAUGUUCAUCCCGUGCAAGGCGCGGGUCUUAACCUAGUACGCUAAUAUAUCUCUUGUAACAAAAACUCAACAUCACAAAAUCUUAUGUUUCUUUAGUUUUGUACUUUUUGUUGAUCUGAUAUGUUGUUGUUUUGAUACGUCAUUUUUCCUUUGUCUAAACAGAAAGAUCCCAGGCGACGUGAAGUUAGCGCGGUGGUGAGUGGGGGUUGGGCUGCGCCGCCGUCGUUCGGUGUGGCGCGGAAAUUAGGGUUUCCUGACCUAGGUUUUGGGUGUGGGCUGAAGGUCCAGUUUGUUUGGGGCUGAAGGCCUUUCGUUCUGGAUUUAGUUGGGCCGGUCUGUUUUGGGCCAUUUGUAGUUUGGUUCAGUUUGGGCUUUGUCCCUUUUUAAUGAAACUAUUUAGACGGAAAAAAAAAAACAGAAAUUGCUGAGAGUUUGGAAAGAAAAAAUCUUCUUUAUAUAAUACGCUUUAAGCAAACACCAACAAAAUUUAAGUCUGACAAUUAUUUUAAUAUAAAAUUAAUAUACCAUACUUUAAACAAAUAAUAAAUAAAAUUAGUAUAUUAAUUUUCUUAUAAUUGUUAAAUAUAUAUUUGUAAUUUUGUAAAUAUGAAAUCAUAUCUAUGUAAACUAAGACAAGUUUUCAUAUGAAAAGGUUCCCAGCGGCGAUGGAGAAAACUUUGAAAAGAGAUUAUCAUAGCUGGAUUUUUCCGAGUUCAGUUCACGGUUGUCCUACUCGGCGUUUAAACGAAAUGAUGUGACAUUUCGUUUGUGAACAUGUAGAAAUAAAUGAUUGCUGAAUCCGAGUUUGGUUAGGUCGAAUGAAAUGAAACAAAACUCGAUUUGUGGGUUCUUCAAAGACGUUUUAUUGAACGGUAAGAGAUAACGAAAGUGAUUACAAGUAUUUUAAGGAAAAGAGACAAGUUCGGAGCUUCGUUGAAAGCACCGACGAGAAUACAAAGAGGCUCGAUCGGUUGUAAAACCCUAAACUUGCCGUCAGUGUUUUAGUGUCUAUUUCGGAUCCCCUUUCUCUCUCCUGCGUGUCUUUCUUUUAUAGCUUCAAUUCAUUAUCCUUCGUUCCCCCUAAGGCGGUGUUCGCCCUAAAGGCCCAAGCUUGAUUACAUCUUUGAUGGGCUUUUGAGUCGAACAGAGGUUUGCUGAGCUGAUGUUGACUUGAUCAGUCGAUCGUUUGUGAGGCUAAAGGAGUCGAACGAAUCCUCAAGCCGGCCGAUCCAUUAACCGAGCUCAUCAACGUCGGGGUUUCUAUGUUAAUGCGCCGAAUCAUGUUGUUCGAUGGGCCUUGUGGAGGAAUGUCAAAUUCAUCUCCAACAGUAACCCCCCCCCCCCGGUAGCCCACUCGUGAGGGAUCAUGGUUCGUCUCAGUGGGUAGCAAGAGUUAGUUCUGAAAACAACAUGUUCGGUCCUGCGCAAAUCGAUCGUUUAAUGCUCUUUGGUAUACUAUUUGACCGAUUGACAUGCGCCGAUUGAUCGAUUCACAUGCGUCCAAUUGCUCAAGUUUUUGAUUAAUGCUCACCUGAUCGCAGGGGAUUGAUAUGUCGCGGGUUUUAGAGAAGUAUUGUUUGGUGCGAGGUUGUUUAUCACGAGGAUGUUUUGGUCUUGUUAGGCAUUAGGUCGAUCAAUCGACAUAUACCUAGUUGCUCAAGUCCUCGAUCGAUGCUCGCCUGCUCGUUCGUUCUGAUACGUCGCAGGGUUUAGAGAUCGACAAUGUUAUUUGUCGUUUGAUUGCUAACUGAGUUAUCUGCCUGGUUUCCGUUGUAUGGCAUUCCGUUGUAUGGCAUUUGGGCGAAAGGAGGGGAACAUUGAUUAGUUAUGCGUUGACCGGUUGAUUGAUCGGCCGCCAGGUUGCUCCUUGCAUUGCUCACAUUUUUGUUGAAGACUCAUCGAUCGGACGGUCUGAUUUGACGUGGAAAACUGAAGCGACAACUCUAGUGGUGCUGAAAACGAGGCUUUAAUAGGCCCAAUAAGCCUAAUGAUGGGACUGUUCCCAAAGCCCGUAUGUUUUUGCUAUAAAUAGGGUCUUCAUCCUUUAUUUUGUCAUUUCUGCACAGAUCCAAAAAGGUAUCCUCUCUCUCCCUUCCUUUUAUUUUUUUUUGGCCGACCUCCUCUUGUUUUCGAAGAGCGCCAUCGGAUCUGGUCUCCGUCGCCGACUUAGGUUCUCGCCGUCGGAUCUCCGCCGGAUCUUUCACUGUCGUUGAGUCGUUCGAUGUCGUCGCUCCGUCGGAGGUAUUCUGAAAAUGAAAAGGGAAAGGGCAUUAGGGCCGAUUCGAGUACUUCGAUCGAUCGGUCGUCUGGUCUAAAGCUGUUGGAUGCUGCGAUUAGGGCUCAUCGAGGGGCUCCCGGUGAUGUUGCUAGCUUGAACUCCGAUCGGAUCGAGGUCGCUGGCGAUGCUGAGGAGCGAUUCGGAAAACGAUUAGCGACUACGACUCGCUGGCGAACGAUGGGGUCGUCAACAUUGGUAAAGAGGACGCGGGUGGUCGCUCGGACAAUUCGACAAAGAAGACCCGUCAGCUGAUUCCGUUCCUUUAUCAGCUGGAUCUCUCGUCAAGAUUCCUUCGACCGGCUGUCAUACAGGGGCAGAGUUGGAACGACGUUUUGCCCACCUGAUCGACUUUCAAGAGUGUUUCUUCGCUGUUGAAGGAGUGUAGAGCGCACGGCAUUGAGUUUAUUAUUCCUCGGCCCCACCAGUGGCCUUCGGCUCCACUGAUCGGUUUUCAAUGCGUCUAUGAGUGUUUCUUCCAACAAGAUUCUAAGUUGUGGUUUCCGAUUCCUCGCAUAAUCACCUCUUAUUGUGCGCGUCGGGACAUAGCUAUGACUAAGUUGAUGAUCAGAGCGGUGAGAAUUUCCAUUGCGUUGAUGGUGAUGGCGGCGGAGAUAGACAUGUCGAUGUCUGUCGAUGUCUGUUCGAAUCUUCGAAGAAUUGACACAUAUCCAACUGAGACCCGGCGGUGUGUACGCUGUGCAGAUGCGUUCGGGGUUAAGUAUCCUGACCGGCCAUCCUUCGAGGAUGAAACUCUGGCAGCGUUACUACUUUUAUGUUAAAGCUAACAGUGCCUUUGAAGAGCCGCCGGACGACCCCUUCUGCAUCCUAGUCGUACCGGUAGUUUAGCUGAUCUCAAGCGACUGGUUGAUUUUUUUAAUGUCGGUUUAAAAUGCUUGUCUUCUGACUUUGCAGUUAUUCAUCUGAAUACUAUUGGACCAUUGGAUACCUUUUGGAAGGACGUUCCGAAGAUCGUUGUACUCAGUCGGCAACAUUGGGAAAACUUUGACCGUCGGAGGAUCAGUCGCCAGCAAGAACGAAUCGCUAAAGACGAUUGGCCAUCGAACGUUCCUUGCGAGGAGAUAAAGGGAAAAAGAUUGAAGCUUCCACUCAUGGGUAAAAUCCUGAAGUCUUACCCAAACUACAGCGACAUUCUCGAUGCUCAAUUAGGUGGCGAGAGAUUCAGUGCCAUGACGGCAGCGGAAGAGGAGGAUUCUGACGCUCGUGGAUCUCCUGAAGGGUGGAUAGAUGCUUAUGCGGGCAAGGCUUUGGUAGAGGGGGCGAUUGAUCAGGUGUCUGACACUCGUCCGUCCAAAAAGAAGAAGAAGAAAAGUAAGUUUUCUAAGAGAGCGAAAGUUGGUUUUGAAGGGGAAAGAGAACAGGAAGUUGAGAUCAAUCGGUAGAGGACGAUCGCCUAACCGAUGAGGUGGAGGGGAAUUGCGAGGCUGCUCAGACGGAUAAUCUUGAAGGCUUAACCGAGGACGGUCAAGUCGAAUCUUUAAGAUCAAAAAAAAAAAGUUGGUUGAACAUGGUGUUCUUGAGUCCGCUGUUAAAAUCAUGUCAAACCAGUAGAUGGGAUUUUACGUAAAAUAUAAAUCCCAUCUACUCGUCUGACGUGAAAUCCCAGUUUUAUAAUUUACGUGAUAUCAUAUAUCAGGUCCUGAGUUAACAUAUUUUUUUAUUUUGGAGAUUGACUUAACAUAUUUCUUAUUUUGAUUAAAAAGUAAGUAUUUGUAUAUUAUACUGCUAAUUAGGUGGGUUUAGGUUUUGUAUUUUAAUACAUAUUUGUAGAUAGACCGAGUUAUGAUCUUAUUAUAUAAAGCUUGGUUCUUAAAAGUUGCUAAUUAAUAUGAUCGCGACACAUAGCAAUUAUAUAUUUAAGAUUGUGACAUGUGUUAAUUUAUCUCAUAAUUAAAAAUAUAUACUAAGAUAUUAACAAAAAUAAAUUUAAUAAAAGUUUUUUAUAUAUAUUAUUUAAUAGUAAUUUUCUUUUUUUAAAUCCUAAUCAAAAGAUUAUUGCAAAAGAUUCUUUGAUAAUAAGAUAUUGUGACUUGUGUUUAAAUAUAUAAUGAUUAAAAAUAUAUAUAAUAACAUAAUAAAAACAAAAUUUGAAACAACUACUUUUAAAAAUUAUUUAAUAGUAAAAACGAUUUUUUUAAAAAAAACUUUAGUAGUAAUUGUUUUAGAAAUUUUCCUUUUUCAAAAUCCUAAAAAAUAGAUUUGAAAACAAUUUAUUUAAUAUAAUUUUCUUUUCUAAACUUUUAAUGAAGAUAUAAUUAUAAAAGAUUAUAUUGAGCUUGGUUCUUCAAAAUUGCUAAUUAACAUGAUAUGACACAUGGUAGUUAUAUACUAAAAAAUGUGAUAUGUGUUAAACUAUAUCAUAAUCAAACAUAUAUAUACUAAAUUAAUAAAAACUAUUUUUCUGAAAAAUUAAUUAUAAAUAUUAUUUAAUAGUUAUUAAUAUUAUUAUUAAUAUUAUUAUUAUUAUUAUUAUUGUUAUUAUUAUUAUUAUUAUUAUUCAUCAUAAUAUUUGUAUUAAAAGAUACUAAAAUAGUGAGUUAUAAAAGAUAAACAUUAAUUUUUAUGAAAAAAUGUUUAAAAAACGAAUUGUAAAAUCCUGCAAGUACAAUAAAUUAUUUAAAAGAAACAUGAAGAAAAACUAAUUUUAAAAUAAAUAAUAUUACUUUUUUAAAAGCAUAAAUAAAACAAAAUUGUAAAAGUACUCUUAUUAGUUUCUUAUAUGUAAAUAACUUACCCUUUUUAAUAGAUAAUUGUAUGUUAAAAAAUUAUGACAAAAAAUAGCUGCAAAUAUUUCAUAUCUAUAUUUAAGUUUAAGCUUCCACAAAUUAUUUUAAAAAAAACCAAUAGUAUUUACAUGAAAAGUAUUACCUAAGUAUUUUCUUUUAAUUUCUUGAUACAACUCAAUUUUUUUAUUAUCCAUACUACAUCUUAUGAUGCUAGCAUAACUUUUAAUUUUGAUGCUAUUGUCGUACAUGAGUAUGUGUGAUUAUGAUAAAUAUGUGUUUGUAUGUAUAAGACAAAAUAAGUAAAUAAUUAAACAGAAUAUUUCUAUUAAAAUAAAAUAGUUGUAUAAAAAUCUAAAAGAAAUAAAAUAAUUAAUUUCCUUUUUAAAAUUCUAAAUAAAAUAUAAAAGUAGAAGUAAUCUUAUUUUUCUUAUAAUUAACUAACUUUACUUUUUAAUAAUUUUGUGUUAAAAAAUAUAAACCAAAAUUUCAAAAUAAACAUAGAUCAUUAAAUUGUGAAUGUGUUAAUAAAAACUUUCAUUAUGUUAAAAUAACUUCUUCUUUUCCUAGAAUCUUAAUAAUUUCUUUUUUUUUCAAAGCGUGACCAAAGAGAAUUUUAAAACUUUAUUUAAUAGCAAUUUUUACUUCAAAAAUUUAAUGAUAAACAUCAUAGUAACAAUUAUUCAAUUAACAAGAAAAAUUGUUAAAAUAUUAAUGAUAUUGAAAUUUGUUUUUGUUUUUUUUUUAAAUUGCAACUUUUAAAAUAGUUAAUUCACUGGAAAUAGUUAUUUGAUAUAAAUUAUAUUUUUCUUAAAUCCUAGACAAAUAUAAUUGUGAAAGAUUAUGUAAUAUUUGUUUUAUUUUCUAAAAUCUUACAAAACUGUAAAAGAAUAUUUGAUAGUUGUUUUCUUUUUUUAUAAAAAAAGUCCAAAACAAAAGAAAUUUGUAUAAUAUUUUUAUGUCCUAACGAAAAGAGAAUUGUAAAAAUUUAUAUGAUAUUAUUUGUAAGAGAGUGUUUGAUGAUGAGCAUGAUAGUAAAAAUUAUUUAUUUA